rnacentral:rRNA from 1 species
UAACUCCGUGCCAGCAGCCGCGGUAAUACGGAGGGUGCAAGCGUUAAUCGGAAUUACUGGGCGUAAAGCGCACGCAGGCGGUUUGUUAAGUCAGAUGUGAAAUCCCCGGGCUCAACCUGGGAACUGCAUCUGAUACUGGCAAGCUUGAGUCUCGUAGAGGGGGGUAGAAUUCCAGGUGUAGCGGUGAAAUGCGUAGAGAUCUGGAGGAAUACCGGUGGCGAAGGCGGCCCCCUGGACGAAGACUGACGCUCAGGUGCGAAAGCGUGGGGAGCAAACAGGAUUAGAUACCCUGGUAGUCCACGCCGUAAACGAUGUCGACUUGGAGGUUGUGCCCUUGAGGCGUGGCUUCCGGAGCUAACGCGUUAAGUCGACCGCCUGGGGAGUACGGCCGCAAGGUUAAAACUCAAAUGAAUUGACGGGGGCCCGCACAAGCGGUGGAGCAUGUGGUUUAAUUCGAUGCAACGCGAAGAACCUUACCUGGUCUUGACAUCCACGGAAGUUUUCAGAGAUGAGAAUGUGCCUUCGGGAACCGUGAGACAGGUGCUGCAUGGCUGUCGUCAGCUCGUGUUGUGAAAUGUUGGGUUAAGUCCCGCAACGAGCGCAACCCUUAUCCUUUGUUGCCAGCGGUCCGGCCGGGAACUCAAAGGAGACUGCCAGUGAUAAACUGGAGGAAGGUGGGGACGACGUCAAGUCAUCAUGGCCCUUACGACCAGGGCUACACACGUGCUACAAUGGCGCAUACAAAGAGAAGCGACCUCGCGAGAGCAAGCGGACCUCAUAAAGUGCGUCGUAGUCCGGAUUGGAGUCUGCAACUCGACUCCAUGAAGUCGGAAUCGCUAGUAAUCGUGGAUCAGAAUGCCACGGUGAAUACGUUCCCGGGCCUUGUACACACCGCCCGUCACACCAUGGGAGUGGGUUGCAAAAGAAGUAGGUAGCUUAACCUUCGGGAGGGCGCUUACCACUUUGUGAUUCAUGACUGGGGUGAAGUCGUAACAAGGUAACCGUAGGGGAACCUGCGGUUGGAUCACCUCCUUACCUUAAAGAAGC